CAGGCCCAGCCCAGCCCAGCCCAGCCCACUCGUUCCGUCCUUGGUCACGUCGGUCGUCGCCCCCUCGCCCUUCCUCCUCGUUCCUCACCCAGUCAGCCACCCCCGACCCAAGUCCCUAACCCUAGCCGCCGCCCGCCGGAGCGCCGCACCAGUCACCGGAGUUCCUCCACCGCGCGCCGACACCACUCCGCCAGCGACCUCUCCUUCCCAUCACCCGACGCGGCGACGCUUCCAUCUCGCCACCGCGCGCCGACGGAAUAUAGCAUGGAGAUCAGACCCAUGGUAGCUCUGCGUGCUGCCCUAGUUGGCGGGGUGGCAGCAUUUGCGAAGAUCGCUGGUGCAAUGAAAGCUGCCGGAAGCAUGAAGGUUGGUGCAGCCGCUGCAGCUAUGACAGCUGCAGCAACGGCUGCCGUAUCCGGAAAAGACACAAAUAAAGAGAACCAAAAGCCUGGAGCACAAUGAUGUAUGCCAUGAAUUUACUGGAGAAGCACAGUGCGUAGAGCCGUAGAUGCAUCUCCAGAGUGUAGAUUUACUUUCAGCAAUUUAUCAAGUGCUGAAGAGUUGCAGAAGCUAAUUGUGGCUUUCGAGAGGACACCGCAAUCAUAAUAAAUAAGUCGUUUGAGCAAUUUGUCAUGAUACAUGUGCUUUAGCUUGAAUAAGAAUUACAUUGUCGUGAGUUUUCACUCUACUGAUAAUUUGUUCCCUUGCAAUGGUCGCUGUUGCUGAAUGUGAUGAUGAUUCAAUGAGGGCUUUAUUGUGUCCACCCUCCAUGCUAUAACCUGAUUCCUGUUGCCAGAAUCCUAAUGGUUUGGAUCACUUUAUAUUUAACUGAAUAUGUUGGUAGCAGAACUCUGCUGAACCUUAAUGUUUACCAACAAUUUUUUAGGGGGCAAUGCAGCUUUAACCUUUGUAUGAGAAAAUAAUUACAUGAUCAGGUAAUAUGCUUGGUUUACUCCCCAACUGUGUUGUUGGAGAUGAGAUCACUAUUCCACGUCUGGUUUCUUCUGUCGUAUAAAUUUUCACACUAAUUGUACUAGGUCCUCUAUUAUUUUUAAGGUUUGUUGUGUUUGUGUCAGCUGGCUUCAGCAAGUUUGUACUGUUACAGAAAUCAUGUGCAUAUUUCAAUUUGAAGGUUUUAUAUCUCAAGCCUGGAACCAGCAAAGUUUAUGUUCAUUUUAGAAAACUGGGUCACGAGCACAGCCAAGUUGACUCUGCAAAGCUUGAAUUCUAAAGAAUCUUCUGUAAAUGUAAACUUAAUUAUUUAACCUCUGUACUCCUGGUGUAAAUGGUAGUUUACCCAUGGAACACUGUUUUGGAUGUUACAUGUACAUGAUUCUGCAUAUCGUCUGAAUGCACUGUACUUUCUGGACUUUGUUGCUUAAGGAGAUCCCUUUAUAAAUUUUACUUAUGUUUAUCAUUUAUGCAUGCAGGGGUAUGGGUUCUGUCCUAGGAAUUUUCAUGGCAGUGGUAUCACUGGUAUUAUAUGUUCUUUUCGAGCCAACGGCGGUGGGGAAUAUCCAUGGAACUGGGACAGAAAUCUCCAUUUAUAUAUGCUUAUUUCGAAGCCAACAUAGUUAAUAAGCUAAGCAUUUUACCUUUAUACUCAAGGUACUAGUAUCUUACCUUGAGUAGAUUGGCACAUAAGGAUUGAGGGUAGGCAAGAAGGCACCAUGCCCUCCGGGAGAGCAUGGCAAAAUUGAAAACAUGCAAGUAUAUGAAGCCUAGCUAUUCCAUAUAUAUGUUUUGAUCUAGUCAUCCUUUCCCAACCUACGCAAUAUUAGCACUGUUAUCCUGUUGGAUCCACCAGUAUUUUGCAAUCAUGGCACUAAUCUAAGCUGGUCACAAAGUGUCUUAGUCAGAUCAAAGCAUGACUUGGAAUAUGCAGAGAUUGCUGGGCGACGGCUUUGAUAAGAAUCUGCUUGCCAGCUUUCUACUAUCGUGUCUAUGUUUAUAGCUUGGGAUAGACUUGUUUUGAUAGUCUGCGAUGUGUAAUAUUCAAACCAUCUUUAAGAAAUCUUCCCAUUUUGAGCCAUGCACUUUGUACUGAUCAAUCGCUUUGAACCUGCAUGUUUACUAUGACACUUGUUGAUAGAAUUGAUGUUACAACAGGUGGAAUUCACACAAUAAUGUAACAACUGUGAUCUUACUGUAGAGUGCACGCUGUCAGCAGCAUGAAGUAACAACUGAGAAAUUUCACUUAUGCUGUUACAAGUCAUAAUGCUUACCACUUUUUUUCCUUCAGAAAUAAUGCUGAUGACGUUGAGAUCAACAAUCACCUUCCGGAGGAUGUACUCCUACCUAGAGUGUUUCUGCAACUCCAGGUAAUGAGGAAAUAGCCGUAGCAAAGGAUAAGCUGGAUUCCGGCUGCGAAGAAGGCAAUUGGCUCCAUGACACUCCAAUCGAACUCCCAGAACGUAAGGCGGAAGAAGAUGACGAAUUGGAAGAUGAAGUACGCCAAGCUGAAACAUAGAACCCUUUUGGCAUGCUUCUGUGCCAGGCCGUCAAUCUCUUGCAUCUUCUCCUGGAGUUGCUUGAACUCUUCUUUUCUCGCGUCGUUCUCUGGCGCGAGCGCAAAUGGCACAGCCCUUCUAAUCAGGCCCACAACCUAGAAAUGGAUCAGCUGGAGAAUUGGAUGCACUGUAUGACUACUACAAUAUUGGUCAGAAAAUUAUACAUGGGCCUUGCCCCGGACAAGCAGAGCCAACCUGUUCUCCUCCAUCCCCCGGAUGAGCGCCUCCGCCUCCGUGCGCACGAGGCCACUCUCCAGCAAUGCGCCGAGGAGCUUGUCGUCAUAGCCGACCACCUGAUCAUCCUGCCCGUCCCUGAGCUGCCGCUCGAUUUCUUCAAAGAUGGCCUUGGUAGCAGCUGUUGAUAUAAAAAUUUGCUGUUAAAGGGGCAAAGCCAAACGCCAGAGAGGAUCGUAUGAACUGUCAACAUCAAGUAACAACUGAUCAUGAAGCUUAUAUUCGACCUCGAGAAUGGUCACCUCCAAGAGGACACCUCAAUUGCCUCUCCAUCUCCAGGUCGCUGGAGGUAACAAGGAAAUAGGCGUAGUCGGCGAGGAGGAAAGAGCUGGCGGCGAAGAAGGUGAUUGGCCCCAUCACAGUCCAAUCAAAGUCCCAGAAGGUGAACCGGAAGCACAUCUCGACCUGGGUCAUCAGCAGCCCGUAGCCUGACCACAGGAUCGCCCUCACCUGCUUCUGCGCCUUGCUGUCGAUAUCUUCCUUCUGUUUCUUGAGCUGCCUGAAUUCUUGCCUUUUGAUGUCGUUCGCUGCUUCGUGUACAUGCGGCACAGCACUUGUUACCAGGUCCACGACCUAACGUCAACGGUAAUUAGAUUCAUUGCGAAAUAUUUAUUUCCCUAA